rnacentral:pre_miRNA from 1 species
AAUCAACGAAGUUUUUGUAUUUUUUUUAUCUCGUUCGUCUUAUUUAAAUUUUAUUAUGAUUGAUAUUUUUAUUGUUACUAUAUGAUAAAAAAUGAACGUAUUUUAAGCGUAACUAAUUUUUGUUAAUUUUUUAAUAAUUUUUUAAAUAAAAUGAAUGAUCAAACGUUAGACACGAAAACCUACGACUGCACGUAAA